rnacentral:rRNA from 1 species
UACGAAGGGGGCUAGCGUUGCUCGGAAUCACUGGGCGUAAAGCGCACGUAGGCGGCUUUUUAAGUCAGGGGUGAAAUCCUGGAGCUCAACUCCAGAACUGCCUUUGAUACUGAGAGCUUGAGUCCGGGAGAGGUGAGUGGAACUGCGAGUGUAGAGGUGAAAUUCGUAGAUAUUCGCAAGAACACCAGUGGCGAAGGCGGCUCACUGGCCCGGUACUGACGCUGAGACGCGAAAGCGUGGGGAGCAAACAGG